CCUACGGGAGGCAGCAGUGGGGAAUAUUGCACAAUGGGGGAAACCCUGAUGCAGCGACGCCGCGUGAGUGAAGAAGUAUUUCGGUAUGUAAAGCUCUAUCAGCAGGGAAGAAAAUGACGGUACCUGAUUAAGAAGCCCCGGCUAACUACGUGCCAGCAGCCGCGGUCAUACGUAGGGGGCAAGCGUUAUCCGGAUUUACUGGGUGUAAAGGGAGCGUAGACGGCAGCACAAGUCUGGAGUGAAAUGCCGGGGCUUAACCCCGGAACUGCUUUGGAAACUGUGCAGCUAGAGUGCAGGAGAGGUGAGUGGAAUGCCUAGUGUAGCGGUGAAAUGCGUAGAUAUUAGGAGGAACACCAGUGGCGAAGGCGGCUUACUGGACUGUAACUGACGUUGAGGCUCGAAAGCGUGGGGAGCAAACAGGAUUAGAUACCCUAGUAGUC
rnacentral:rRNA from 1 species